rnacentral:rRNA from 1 species
UACGUAGGUGACCAGCGUUGUCCGGAUUUACUGGGCGUAAAGAGCGCGCAGGCGGUCGUUCAAGUCGAGUGUGAAAGCCCCCGGCUCAACUGGGGAGGGUCACUCGAUACUGAUCGACUUGAAGGCAGGAGAGGGAAGCGGAAUUCCCGGUGUAGUGGUGAAAUGCGUAGAUAUCGGGAGGAACACCAGUGGCGAAGGCGGCUUCCUGGCCUGUUCUUGACGCUGAGGCGCGAAAGCUAAGGGGAGCAAACGGGG